UUUAAGUAAUCAAAUUUAUUUCUUAUACAAAAAAUUCUGAAAUACAAAAUGUUCUGAAAGAAAAAAAUUAAAUUAUUUAGGAUAAAAUUCAUUUUAAUGCGCAAUAAUUGAACUUCGGUCAAAACAAUUUGUUCAUGUGAAAUUUAAACUCACACCCAUAGAAGCAGAUAUGUAUUUAGUCUCAGUAAUUACCAUCAAUAAAUAACAUACAAGCUCAACGGCAACGGAUCUGAGCUUAAUUGAAUCCUUACAUUCCACAAAAUGAAUAUGAAAAGGAUUGACCAAUAUUUGCGUUUAUUUAUAGAUCUAUUUUAUUAAUGCUAAAUAUGACGUCAACGUAAAUAUGGCUUUUUUCGCGUGAUAAAGAAAUUACACCGAAGGUAUUGGCCAUAUUAUGUAAUUAUGCAACGCGAGCAUGUAAAAGUGCUGAGUGCACAUUUGAGCGCUCUCAGAAAUUUGUUUAGUUUAAUGAACUUAAUGCCAAAAAAUCAAGAUAUUUGUAUGUCCGGAUAUGGGGGGUGUGCUCAAAAAAUUUGGUGAAGUGUCCAUCGCUCAAACUAAACUGAAUCAACUAAUCUCAAAGCAGUCAAAAAAGCUUUUUUAGUACGAAAUGGCACCUUUCUAACGCCAUCCAGCGGAACCCGAUCGAACUUUUACAGCUCGAGAUACGGAUAAAUAGCGCAAUCUUAUUUGAAAAAUAACUGCACAUAAUAUAUGUAAAUUACGCUCACUUCCUCAACAGACCACGUAUGACAAACUGAUUGUGUUCUCGUAAGACCGGAGGCUAAUAUAAUAGCAGACCAACAAUUGUGAUGGACGGAAAUCAAGAUGAAAAUUAUUGGCUCCUUGUGAAAUGUACUACAGCGGCAAAAUAUAAGAGCGCAAAUUUUGUGUCGGUUUCGUGGUGGGAGAGGGACUUAGUCACUGAACCUGAGAUUCACCCUGAUGAAGCCUCGCCCUACAUCAAAAAGAAAGUCUUCAACAUGACUUGGGCUCACACCCCGACGGCUGUCAACUACGAUGUGACCAAAGACUCUUUCGCUAAAAAAGAGAAAGGGGACUUUACUUUUGAACUGUCCACUCAGCCCAAAGUGGAACCUGCAGGCAUGAUUGUUUCUACGCUGGAUUUCAAAGCUGACAUUAUUUUUGUUCUUGAUGUCUACGACAUCAAAAUUGAUGUAUAUCAAAUUCAGACAUAGCGGCGGAGAGGCAGCUUCUUACUGUAUUGUCGAAGGCAGCUGUAAAAUCGGGACUACCUUCCAGAGACUUACAAUCCAAACGACUCAUUUUCAAUAAGCAAUACUAUAUAUUUUCCCAAAAAAAAUUGCGAAAAUUUCAACUAAAUUCAUUAUCUAUUGAUUUCUAUGAGUGUAAUUUCGACACAAGCAAAAAUACAAAAUUCAAAUUGUGCAUAGCAAAAAGA